AUUGAACGCUGGCGGCAUGCCUUACACAUGCAAGUCGAACGGCAGCACGGGUGCUUGCACCUGGUGGCGAGUGGCGAACGGGUGAGUAAUACAUCGGGACAUGUCCUGUAGUGGGGGAUAGCCCGGCGAAAGCCGGAUUAAUACCGCAUACGAUCUACGGAUGAAAGAGGGGGACCUUCGGGCCUCGCGCUAUAGGGUUGGCCGAUGGCUGAUUAGCUAGUUGGUGGGGUAAAGGCCUACCAAGGCGACGAUCAGUAGCUGGUCUGAGAGGACGACCAGCCACACUGGGACUGAGACACGGCCCAGACUCCUACGGGAGGCAGCAGUGGGGAAUUUUGGACAAUGGGCGAAGGCCUGAUCCAGCAAUGCCGCGUGUGUGAAGAAGGCCUUCGGGUUGUAAAGCACUUUUGUCCGGAAAGAAAUCCUUGGCCCUAAUACGGUCGGGGGAUGACGGUACCGGAAGAAUAAGCACCGGCUAACUACGUG
rnacentral:rRNA from 1 species